CACCGGAUCCCCUCCACCACCUCGCCGCGGCGCGCCGGCGCCCCCCACCUCCCCGCCGCCGCGCCGCGCCCCCCGAGCGUCCCGAACGAGCCGCCGGGGCCGAUCUGCACCCCCCGUCAGAUGCGCCGCCCCAAUACCCGCGGCGAGCACAAGGAACAAACCCUAGCUCCCGCCCCCUCCCCCGCCGCCCGGAUCAGGAUGGGCGCCACGCGGCGGCAGCCCGGCUCCCGCCGCCGCGUCGCCACCGCCCUCGCGCUCCUCGCCGCGUCCGCGCUCGCCCUGCUGCUCCUCCUCGCGUCCCGCUCGGCGCCCCCGAGGUACGGCGUCAUCAUCGACGCCGGCAGCACGGGGAGCCGCGUCCACGUCAUCGCCUACCGCGCCGGCCCCGGCCGGGGCGCGCCCCCGCAGCUGGACUGGGCGCGCACGGCCUCGCUGAAGGCCAACCCGGGGCUGUCGUCCUUCGCGGCGGAUCCCCGCGGCGCGGGGCUGUCGCUGGCCCCGCUGGUGGAAUUUGCUCGGCGCCGCGUGCCGCGGGAGAGGUGGGCGGACACCGAGGUGCGGCUCAUGGCCACGGCGGGGCUCCGGCUUCUCGACGCCGCGGUGGCAGAGUCCGUUCUGGAGUCAUGCAGGGAUGUGCUUCGCCAAUCGGGCUUCCUGUUCCAGGACAAAUGGGCCACCGUGAUCUCAGGGGCUGAGGAAGGUAUAUAUGCAUGGGUUGCAGCAAAUUAUGCAUUGGGGACUCUAGGCGGCGAUCCACACGACACCACUGGGAUAAUUGAGCUUGGUGGGGCAUCUGUUCAGGUCACUUUUGUAACGGGUGAACCUUUGCCUCCAGAGUUCUCUCAUGUACUUAAGUUUGGCGAUGUCUCAUAUAAUCUGUACAGCCACAGCUUUUUGCAACUUGGCCUGAAUGUAGCAUAUGAGUCACUCCAUGACUUGCUCAGCUCACCUGGCCUUAAAUCAAUGGCCGCACAUAUAAUUACUCAAACGAAGUACAAAGAUCCUUGCACUCCAAGGGGAUUUACAAGUAUGGUGGGAACAGCUAAACUUCCUGUUAGUGUUCUUGAGCCAAAGGUUGAGUACAGACCUUUUGCUCAUGCUGUGGGGAACUUCUCUGAGUGUAGAUCUGCAGCGCUAACACUAUUGCAGAAAGGAAAAGCGGGAAACAGUGAUGUAAAGGUGUUGCCUAGGUGUACCCAGCUCGCCUCGUCGCCUAUAAAACACUGUCGGGGAACAAUAGGAAUGUGCAUAUCACGAAUGCCGCCUUGGAGCAGCAUUUGUGCCAGAGCUGGAAGGGAAAUUUUUAGCAACAGAAAAUUUUUACCAUACUUCAAAGUUCUUUGGUCUGCAUUCAAAGUCCUUCCUUUCUGAUCUGAUGGUGGCUGGGGAGAAAUUUUGCCAUGGGGAUUGGUCGAAGAUCAAGAAGAAAUACAGCUCUUUCAAUGAGGGAGAGCUGCUUCUGUUCUGUUUCUCAUCAGCAUAUAUUAUCGCUUUACUACAUGAUACUCUUAAGAUGCCGCUGGAGCAUAAGAGGAUUGAUGUUGUAAAUCAAAUCCAUGGUGUGCCUGUUGACUGGGCAUUGGGUGCUUUCAUUGUGCAAACGACGUUGAACCGGACAGAGUACUCAGACUCAUCAGUUUCAUAUCUAAACAGCUAUGACUCUUCUGGCUUGGCACCAAUUUUCUUGAUUACAACUGUGGUUGUGUUUACAGCAUUCUCCAUCCUGAGGUGGAGAAGGCCUCAGCUGAAGACGAUCUACGACAUGGAGAAAGGCCGGUACAUCAUAACCAGGGUCAGCCGAUGAGCUUUGCGCGUCGGCGCUGGGAGUGGGUGAACUUACUGCAGAGGAGCACCAGUGACCGUGUAUGUAGAUUUUCAUAAAUUAAUUUUUACCUGGUGGCCAACCCCGCAUCUUGGUGCCGCCUUGCAGAAUUAACCGGAGCUCAAGCUGCAGCCCUUGUGUAUAGGACAAUAUGGGUUGCGGUGGCAUUCAUGUCUCUGUGCCGUGUACCAUGUUGUUACCCAAUUGUUGUUGAUGUAAUUACAAUUUUGUGCAUAGGUGGGCAGUCAUGAUACAUAGCGCCCCAGCAAAACGGUUUUCUAUCUUGUGAUGUAAUGUAAUCCUGAAAUACCUAAUGAUCAAUAGAAUUUCUCUGCUGCGGAUGGCAGAUCAGUUGUAUCUCCA